CCUACGGGCGGCAGCAGUGGGGAAUAUUGCACAAUGGGGGAAACCCUGAUGCAGCGACGCCGCGUGAGUGAAGAAGUAUUUCGGUACGUAAAGCUCUAUCAGCAGGGAAGAAAAUGACGGUACCUGACUAAGAAGCCCCGGCUAACUACGUGCCAGCAGCCGCGGUAAUACGUAGGGGGCAAGCGUUAUCCGGAUUUACUGGGUGUAAAGGGAGCGUAGACGGAAGCGCAAGUCUGGAGUGAAAUCCCAUGGCUUAACCAUGGAACUGCUUUGGAAACUGUGCAGCUAGAGUGCAGGAGAGGUAAGCGGAAUUCCUAGUGUAGCGGUGAAAUGCGUAGAUAUUAGGAGGAACACCAGUGGCGAAGGCGGCUUACUGGACUGUAACUGACGUUGAGGCUCGAAAGCGUGGGGAGCAAACAGGAUUAGAUACCCCAGUAGUC
rnacentral:rRNA from 1 species